rnacentral:tRNA from 1 species
UUUUUUAUGGUGUAUCAACACAUUACAUUUUCGUUGUAAAGCUGGAGAAUCGCUCUCCUAAAAAAU